rnacentral:rRNA from 1 species
GACGAACGCUGGCGGCGUGCCUAAUACAUGCAAGUAGAACGCACAGUUUAUACCUUAGCUUGCUACACCAUAAACUGUGAGUUGCGAACGGGUGAGUAACGCGUAGGUAACCUGCCUGGUAGCGGGGGAUAACUAUUGGAAACGAUAGCUAAUACCGCAUAAUAUUUAUUAUUGCAUGAUAAUUGAUUGAAAGAUGCUAUUGCAUCACUACCAGAUGGACCUGCGUUGUAUUAGCUAGUAGGUGAGGUAACGGCUCACCUAGGCGACGAUACAUAGCCGAACGGAGAGGGUGAUCGGCCACCCUGGGAGGGAGACACGGCCCAGACGCAUACGGGAGGGAGCAGUAGGGAAUCGUCAGCAAGGGACGAAAGUCUGACCGAGAAACGCCGAGUGAGGGAAGAAGGUUUUCGGAUCGGAAAGCUCUGUUGUAAGGGAAGAACGGGGGUGAGAGUGGAAAGUUCACACUGUGACGGUAUCUUACCAGAAAGGGACGGCUAACUACGUG